AGAGGGUGCAAGCGUUAAUCGGAAUUACUGGGCGUAAAGAGCGCGUAGGUGGCGAUUUAAGUUAGAUGUGAAAAGCUCGGGCUUAACCUGAGCCUUGCAUAUAAAACUGGAUGGCUAGAGUGCGAUAGAGGGUAGUGGAAUUUCCGGUGUAGCGGUGAAAUGCGUAGAUAUCGGAAGGAACACCAGUGGCGAAGGCGUCUACCUGGAUUGACACUGACACUGAGGCGCGAAAGCGUGGGGGAGCAAACAGGAUUAGAUACCCUGGUAGUCCACGCCGUAAACGAUGAGAACUAGCCCGUUGGGCACUAUUGUGCUAAGUGGCGCAGCAAACGCACUAAGUUCUCCCGCCCUGGGGAGUACGAUCGCAAGAUUAA
rnacentral:rRNA from 1 species